CGGACGGGUGAGUAACGCGUGAGAAUCUGCCUUCAGGUCGGGGACAACCACUGGAAACGGUGGCUAAUACCGGAUAAGCCGAAAGGUGAAAGAUAAAUUGCCUGAAGAGGAGCUCGCGUCUGAUUAGCUAGUUGGUGGGGUAAGAGCUUACCAAGGCGACGAUCAGUAGCUGGUCUGAGAGGACGAUCAGCCACACUGGAACUGAGAAACGGUCCAGACUCCUACGGGAGGCAGCAGUGGGGAAUUUUCCGCAAUGGGCGAAAGCCUGACGGAGCAAUACCGCGUGAGGGAGGAAGGCUCUUGGGUUGUAAACCUCUUUUCUCAGGGAAGAAGUACUGACGGUACCUGAGGAAUAAGCAUCGGCUAACUCCGUGCCAGCAGCCGCGGUAAUACGGAGGAUGCAAGCGUUAUCCGGAAUGAUUGGGCGUAAAGCGUCCGCAGGUGGCAUUGAAAGUCUGCUGUCAAAGAGUCUGGCUCAACCAGAUAAAGGCAGUGGAAACUACAAAGCUAGAGUACGUUCGGGGCAGAGGGAAUUCCUGGUGUAGCGGUGAAAUGCGUAGAGAUCAGGAAGAACACCGGUGGCGAAAGCGCUCUGCUAGGCCGUAACUGACACUGAGGGACGAAAGCUAGGGGAGCGAAUGGGAUUAGAUACCCCAGUAGUCCUAGCCGUAAACGAUGGAUACUAGGUGUUGCUUGUAUCGACCCGAGCAGUACCGUAGCUAACGCGUUAAGUAUCCCGCCUGGGGAGUACGCAGGCAACUGUGAAACUCAAAGGAAUUGACGGGGGCCCGCACAAGCGGUGGAGUAUGUGGUUUAAUUCGAUGCAACGCGAAGAACCUUACCAGGGCUUGACAUGUCGCGAAUCAGGGGGAAACCUCUGAGUGCCUUCGGGAGCGCGAACACAGGUGGUGCAUGGCUGUCGUCAGCUCGUGUCGUGAGAUGUUGGGUUAAGUCCCGCAACGAGCGCAACCCUCGUUUUUAGUUGCCAUCAUUAAGUUGGGCACUCUAGAGAGACUGCCGGUGACAAACCGGAGGAAGGUGGGGAUGACGUCAAGUCAGCAUGCCCCUUA
rnacentral:rRNA from 1 species